rnacentral:tRNA from 1 species
CAGAAGGUAGUUUAAGAUAAAACUUUAGUUUUGGGAAUUAAAGAUAGAUGUAAAAUUUUCUUCUGA